UACAGAGGUCUCAAGCGUUGUUCGGAAUCACUGGGCGUAAAGGGUGCGUAGGCCGCACGGUAAGUCAGAGGUGAAAUCCCGGAGCUCAACUUCGGAAUUGCCUCCGAUACUGCCGUGCUUGAGGACUGGAGAGGAGUCUGGAAUUCACAGUGGAGCAGUGAAAUGCGUAGAUAUUGUGAGGAACACUAGUGGCGAAGGCGAGACUCUGGACAGUUCCUGACGCUGAGGCACGAAGGCCAGGGGAGCAAACGGG
rnacentral:rRNA from 1 species